UCCAAUGUGGCCUAGUGGUUUGAGUGCUGGACUAGGACUCUGGAGGCCAGGGUUCGGUUCCAGCUUGGCCA